rnacentral:lncRNA from 1 species
AGGUCCUUCCAUAGUGACGCCCCCCAAGGACAUCUGGAAUGUCACUGGUGCCCAGGUGUACUUGAGCUGUGAGGUCAUCGGAAUCCCGACACCUGUCCUCAUCUGGAACAAGGUAAAAAGGGGUCACUAUGGAGUUCAAAGGACAGAACUCCUGCCUGGUGACCGGGACAACCUGGCCAUUCAGACCCGGGGUGGCCCAGAAAAGCAUGAAGUAACUGGCUGGGUGCUGGUAUCUCCUCUAAGUAAGGAAGAUGCUGGAGAAUAUGAGUGCCAUGCAUCCAAUUCCCAAGGACAGGCUUCAGCAUCAGCAAAAAUUACAGUGGUUGAUGCCUUACAUGAAAUACCAGUGAAAAAAGGUACACAAUAAAUCUCACAGCCAUUUAAAAAUGACUAGUACAUUUGCUUUAAAAAGAACAGAACUAAGUAUGAAAGUAUCAGACGUAGCUAUUGAUGAAAUUCUGUAGUUAGCAACCCAUAAGGGCAUUAAGUAUGCCAUUAAAAUGUACAGCAUGAGACUCCAAAAGAUUAUCUGGAUGGGUGACUGAACAUCGUUAUUAUGACUUAGAUGCUUUUACCUUAUCUAACAUGUAAGAGUCAAAAUCAAACUUGCCUGGAAUGGCUUCUAUUUCCCAUAGCUUUCUACCUAUCUACUUGGCAUUUUCCCUUUGUGUUGUGACUAUUAAAUUCCUAUUUAAAAGAAAAUGAUUGUGGGCAAUUCUCGCCCUUCACUUUUGCUUUUAAAAG